rnacentral:rRNA from 1 species
GAUGAACGCUGGCGGCGUGCCUAAUACAUGCAAGUCGAGCGAACAGACGAGGAGCUUUCUCCUCUGACGUUAGCGGCGGACGGGGGAGUAAAACGUGGAUAACCUACCUAUAAGACUGGGAUAACUUCGGGAAACCGGAGCUAUUACCGGAUAAUAUAUUGAACCUCAUGGUUCAAUAGUGAAAGACGGUUUUGCUGUCACUUAAAGAUGGAUCCGCGCCGCAUUAGCUAGUUGGUAAGGUAACGGCUUACCAAGGCAACGAUGCGUAGCCGACCUGAGAGGGUGAACGGCCACACUGGAACUGAGACACGGUCCAGACUCCUACGGGAGGCAGCAGUAGGGAAUCUUCCGCAAUGGGCGAAAGCCUGACGGAGCAACGCCGCGUGAGUGAUGAAGGUCUUCGGAUCGUAAAACUCUGUUAUUAGGGAAGAAAAAAUGUGUAAGUAACUAUGAACGUCUUGACGGUACCUAAUCAGAAAGCCACGGCUAACUACGUG